rnacentral:rRNA from 1 species
CACGGGUGAGUAACACGUAUCCAACCUGCCGUCUACUCUUGGCCAGCCUUCUGAAAGGAAGAUUAAUACAAGAUGGCAUCAUGAGUUCACAUGUUCACAUGAUUAAAGGUAUUCCGGUAGACGAUGGGGAUGCGUUCCAUUAGAUAGUAGGCGGGGUAACGGCCCACCUAGUCUUCGAUGGAUAGGGGUUCUGAGAGGAAGGUCCCCCACAUUGGAACUGAGACACGGUCCAA